CAGUAGCCGCGGUAGUACGAAGGGUGCAAGCGUUACUCGGAAUUACUGGGCGUAAAGCGUGUGUAGGUGGUUGUUUAAGUCUGUCGUGAAAGCCCUGGGCUCAACCUGGGAAUUGCGAUGGAUACUGGGCGACUAGAGUGCGGUAGAGGAUAGUGGAAUUUCCGGUGUAGCAGUGAAAUGCGUAGAGAUCGGAAGGAACAUCUGUGGCGAAGGCGACUAUCUGGGCCAACACUGACACUGAGACACGAAAGCGUGGGGAGCAAACAGGAUUAGAUACCCCCGUAGUCCCUGUCUCUUAUAC
rnacentral:rRNA from 1 species